GCCUGCUGUGGUGGCCCACACCUGUAAUCCCAGCAACUUGGGAGGCUGAGGCAGGAGGAUCACAUGUCCCAGGCCAGGCUCAGUAACUUUAGUGAGACCCUGUCUCAA
rnacentral:sRNA from 1 species